UGAAAUGUUUCAAAAUUUACUAUCAUGGUCAAUGUAAAUUAAAUUUGGUGAGCAAGUUCCUUAUAUUAUAUAGUGGACUACAAAAAUUAGACCAAAAUUCGUUAUUUAUAUACAUUUUCAAAGCAAGCUUACACUUUGGAUAUAUUAGUAUGGAUUACAUUAUAGAAUUUUGAUUAUAUUUGUUGGUCUUUAGGAACAGAGUAAUCAUUAACAUGGAUAAUUGGGGCAUUUUUAGGUCAUAGUCAAAGGAAAAAUUCUUGAAUUUAUGAAAGACAAACUAUUGUGAAAUCAUUUGCGAAAGAUGGUUUCAAUAAUCAAUAAUGAAAGUUUGGAGCUUGAAGUUAAUCAUAUGUCGUCCUAGUCUCAACCAUAAAUGAUGUCGACUAGGGAUCAAUGAAUGUUGCUUUUAGGACUACGCAAGAACCUUAUAAGAAAUAAAAAUCUGAGU
rfam:Vigna radiata var. radiata cultivar VC1973A chromosome 8, whole genome shotgun sequence